CCAAAAAGGAUAAUAUGGAAAUGAAAAGGAUGGGAGGUUGCAAUGAGAUCUUUUGGACAUACUGUUGCUGAGGAACCAAAUAUAGACUGUAGCUAAGUAAGUUUAUAUUCUGACACUAUUCUGGGGGAGAUGAGCUAGAAAGUCCCACACCUCAUCAGACCCCAGAGACUAUGAAAAACUGUUUCAUAACAGCCUCUCAUGGGAUAAAAAGAGUGAGUAGGACAGGGCCUUACAGGUUGCAACUUUGCAAAGGACCAAACGUUGUAGGACCAUAUGGCCUGCUUCAGCCCACUGCAGACAGGGUAAAACUCUUCACCAAAGAACCCCACUGACCCCUCACAUCCUCCAUAUCUAUAUUCAUUAUAGCACCCAUCUUAGCCCUCUCACUUGCCCUACCCAUAUGCAUCCCUCUACCAAUACCAUAUCCACUCAUUAACAUAAGACCAGAAGUGCUAUUUAUAUUGGGUAUGUCAAGCCUCCCCGUCUACUCAAUCUUACGGUCAAGAUGAGCCUCAAAUUCAAAAUACGCUUUAAUCAGAGCCCUCUCGGCCAAAGCCCAAACAAUCUCACACAAAGCCAUCAUCCUCCUAUCGCUCACAUCUCACACUAGCCAUCAUCCUCCUAUCAGUACUACUAAUAAAUGGAUCUUGCACACUAGCCACAUGAAUUACCGCCCAAGAACACCUAUGAUUAAUCAUUCCUGCCAGG